CCAAGAAUAUUCCGCAAUGGGGGAAACCCUGACGGAGCGACGCCGCGUGGAGGAUGAAGGCAUUCGUGUUGUAAACUCCUUUUUUAAGGGAAGAAUAAGCUGGGGAGGAAAUGCCCCGGCGAUGACGGUACCUUAAGAAUAAGCCCCGGCUAAUUACGUGCCAGCAGCCGCGGUAAUACGUAAGGGGCGAGCGUUGCUCGGAAUUACUGGGCGUAAAGGGCAUGUAGGCCGCCGAUUAAGCGGAGUGUGAAAGACCACGGCUCAACUGUGGAAACGCGCUCCGAACUGGUCGGCUUGAAUCUAGGAGAAGGUAGUGGAAUUUCCCGUGUAGCGGUGGAAUGCAUAGAUAUGGGAAGGAACACCUAAGGCGAAGGCAGCUACCUAUGCUAAGAUUGACGCUGAGGUGCGAAAGUGUGGGGAUCAAAUA
rnacentral:rRNA from 1 species